UGAUACGUACCCGCAAUGUUAUACAUGGAUCUCAUUCAUAGAACUCCAUGUGAAUAGCACAUGUUAUUUAAUUGUCAUGUUUUAUUAUUUUAGUAUUUGUUUUGCAAUUCGUAGUACUAGUGAUCCAUGAUCUUAAGAUAGAGGAGUAGUGGGUAUCCAUGAUCCCCUCAUUCCAUGGAUAGUCAGUUAUUUGUUUCCAUGUAAUUCCUAUUUAAGUGGUUUUGUUUUGAUAAUGAGAUAUGAAGAAGAAAUUAUCUAAAAUCAUAUCUUAAAUUCUCUCUAGAAUUCUCCCUAUUUGCUUUGGCCAAUCGAUUAUCGGUUGGAACCACAUCAUCCUCAUCGGUUAUAUUUAAUUAUGACAUAAAGCUAAUAACCUUUAAAACAUCAGGCAUGGGUGUAUUAAAUACUGCAAGCAUGUGAAAUAUCAUCUCGUGAAGACAGAAGAGAGUCUAAAGACCAAGACAUCAGUGUUUAUUUUUUAAAAGAGUUUGGUUUUACAUUCUGCAUUACAUGGCCAACUAAAGGGAAUGGAAGAUGCACUCAUGGCUUUAGAGGUAUGUUUUUUGGGCGUCACAACAUAAUUAUGUAGAUCACUUUGCUUCUAUUGUUUGUCUUACAUCUAAAACCUUUACAAUUUAUAAAGAUGUACAUGACAUUAUGAUUAGCAAGAUAUACAAACUACUACCAUCUUUUGACGACAUGACGGGCCAAAUAACACUUGGAAAGAAUUAA
rnacentral:lncRNA from 1 species